GUUAUAAAAAACCAACCGAGGACAUCCAAUAAACCUAGAACGAUACAAAGUAAAUUAGCGUGCCCAUCCGCAAAGAUGACAUGCAUAAAUUGAGAUCAAAACAAUCCAUUU
rnacentral:snRNA from 1 species